rnacentral:rRNA from 1 species
GAUGAACGCUGGCGGCGUGCCUAAUACAUGCAAGUCGAGCGAACAGAUAAGGAGCUUGCUCCGUUGACGUUAGCGGCGGACGGGUGAGUAACACGUGGGUAACCUACCUAUAAGACUGGGAUAAUUUCGGGAAACCGGAGCUAAUACCGGAUAAUAUUCCGAACCGCAUGGUUCGAUAGUGAAAGAUGGUUUUUCUGUCACUUAUAGAUGGACCGCCGCCGGAUUAGCUAGUUGGUAAGUUAACGGCUUACCAAGGCGACGAUACGUAGCCGAACUGAGAGGGGGAUAGGCCACACUGGAAGUGGAACACCGUCAAGGGUCCUGCGGGAGGCAGCAGUAGGGAAUGUUACGCAAUGGGCGAAAGCCUGACGGAGCAACGCCGCGUGAGUGAUGACGGUCUUCGGAUCGUAAAGCUCUGUUAUUAGGGAAGAACAUACGUGUAAGUAAAUGAGCACGGCUUGACGGUACCUAAUCAGAAAGCAACGGCUAACUACGUG